rnacentral:rRNA from 1 species
UCCUGGCUGUAAACGCUGCAGACUUGGUGUUGGGAAUCCUACGUGGAUGCCCAGUGCCGUAGAGAAGUUGUUAAGUCUGCCGCUUGGGGAGUACGGUCGCAAGACUGAAACUUAAAGGAAUUGGCGGGAGAGCACCGCAACGGGUGGAGCGUGCGGUUUAAUUGGAUUCAACGCCGGAAAACUCACCGGGGGCGACUGUUACAUGAAGGCCAGGUUGAUGACCUUGCCAGAUU